AGUCGAGGGGCAGCACAGGUAGCAAUACCGGGUGGCGACCGGCGCACGGGUGAGUAACGCGUAUGCAACUUGCCUAUCAGAGGGGGAUAACCCGGCGAAAGUCGGACUAAUACCGCAUGAAGCAGGGGCCCCGCAUGGGGAUAUUUGCUAAAGAUUCAUCGCUGAUAGAUAGGCAUGCGUUCCAUUAGGCAGUUGGCGGGGUAACGGCCCACCAAACCGACGAUGGAUAGGGGUUCUGAGAGGAAGGUCCCCCACAUUGGUACUGAGACACGGACCAAACUCCUACGGGAGGCAGCAGUGAGGAAUAUUGGUCAAUGGGCGUAAGCCUGAACCAGCCAAGUCGCGUGAGGGAUGAAGGUUCUAUGGAUCGUAAACCUCUUUUAUAAGGGAAUAAAGUGCGGGACGUGUCCCGUUUUGUAUGUACCUUAUGAAUAAGGAUCGGCUAACUCCGUGCCAGCAGCCGCGGUAAUACGGAGGAUCCGAGCGUUAUCCGGAUUUAUUGGGUUUAAAGGGUGCGUAGGCGGCCUUUUAAGUCAGCGGUGAAAGUCUGUGGCUCAACCAUAGAAUUGCCGUUGAAACUGGGGGGCUUGAGUAUGUUUGAGGCAGGCGGAAUGCGUGGUGUAGCGGUGAAAUGCUUAGAUAUCACGCAGAACCCCGAUUGCGAAGGCAGCCUGCCAAGCCAUGACUGACGCUGAUGCACGAAAGCGUGGGGAUCAAACAGGAUUAGAUACCCUGGUAGUCCACGCAGUANACGAUGAUCACUAGCUGUUUNCGAUACAGUGUAAGCGGCACAGCGAAAGCGUUAAGUGAUCCACCUGGGGAGUACGCCGGCAACGGUGAAACUCAAAGGAAAUGACGGGGGCCCGCAC
rnacentral:rRNA from 1 species